CACAGAGGGUGUUGCGUUCACCUCUCUACUGAUGCGAUUAAGAUCUCCUAUCCAAUGCUAUCCCAGAAGAAUGGAAAUCUAGGCAUUCAUGUGGCAUCAUGUCUCAAUCUUCCGCCAGGACGUCCCACCGCUGCAAAGUUUACAUGUCUCACUAAAGAGCAUAAUCAGCCAAACAUAUAAACCUUAAACUCAUGCUCUUGAAAGCAACAGUGAGG